GACGAACGCUGGCGGCGUGCUUAACACAUGCAAGUCGAGCGGAAAGGCCCUUCGGGUGACUCGUGCUCCAGAGGCGAGCGGAAGAGGAACGUGAUCGUAACCUGGCCUUGGCUUAACUAUAACUACCGGUAACUAAGACCGGUAACGGAUAGGAGCUCCUGCUGCAUGGUGGGGGAAGGAAUGUUGCGGAGGUUGGGGCUGGACGCGCGGCAUAUCAGGUUGUUGGUGGGGUAGUGGCUUACCAAGGCUGCGACGGGUAGCCGGGCUGAGAGGGUGACCGGCGAGACUGGGACUGAGAGACGGCACAGACGCCUAAGGGAGGUAGCAGUGGGGAAUAUGGGGCAAUGGGCGGAAGGCGGAUCCAGCAACGCCGCGAGAGGGAUGACGGCGUUGGGGUUGUAAGGCUCUUUAAGUACCGACGACGCGGCGAUGAUGGUGGUGACGGUAGGUACAGAAGAAGCACCGGCCAACUACGUG
rnacentral:rRNA from 1 species